rnacentral:lncRNA from 1 species
UCGGACUAAUGAAUUCAGUGUUCUCGUCUUAACAAUAGUUAAACAGAAGGUUAUCGUUGGUGGUAAGUUGGGUUUCUAUUCGUUCUUGGUUGUCAAUUCGCUUGUAAAUCUGUUAAAUUGAUGUUGAAUAUCUUGAUUAUAGGUUUUGGAGUGCUUGGAGACUGUUUUAGCAUCAAACAAAACCAGGUGUGUACCCGAAAUGUAAAAAAAAAGAUUCGACGAAAAGCCGAAAUUGCUUGCUAUUUGGACAGCAACAGUAGGCUAAAUUUGAAAAAUCGCCAUAAAUUGUGAAAAUUGAAUUAUAGACUGAAAAAACUAUGUAAUUAAAGCUUAUUAAGUCUAGUUUCUUAUAAAAGAAACAGUGUAAGUAAUGAAAUUGUAAAUCGUGAGGUAUAAUAAACUUUGUGAGAUAAGAUCAGAUUGAAUUCGGGCUUCCCUGUUCUGACUUUGGAAAAUCAUCAAAAAUUGGAGAAAAAUAAUUAGGGGUUAAAAUUUACAAGUUUAAAUUAUUAAUAAGUCUAUUUUCAAUAGAAACAAAUGGAAACAUCAUCCAAAUUUUGUACUAAGAGAUAAUUAAUUUUUAGCAAAGAAGGGACGAAGCUGUCAGACAGCAGAAUAAGGGUAAGUUUGAAGAUUUUACUGUACUUAUUGGCUGAACCAAAAAUUCUGAAAAUUUUAUGGUAGAAAGGUAUUUGAGUCUAGUUUCAAAGACAUUAAGCGGAUCUUAAUUCGAAAUUCUGUAGCUCAAGAGAUAAAUAAUUUAGUAACAGUGACUCAAGUAGACAUCUUUGAAGGAACAUAUAAGUAAAUAGUGAAAACAUAUAUGAAUAAUUAACUAGCACGGGUUACAUUAAAAAUGGAUCACGUGGCCAAUGCCAAUUUAGGCCGAGUAGGCCACAUGGACUUGUGAGCCCAUUUUUCUGAAAAGUUCUAUAAGGUUGCAUGAGUCACCCAAGUCGACUAUGGACCUACUGUAAGGUCGGUAAGCUUUACUUAGACCCCUAUAUGUGUGAUCUGUUAGUCUGAUUUCUAUACCGAGCAUGACUUAUGAUAUCUGAAUGUAUGUACUAGUAAUUGCAUAAUGGCAUGACAUAUUUUGUAUGUUGCAUUGCAUCGGGGUAGGUUGAUGAUAUUUGGAGGAAGUGUCUGAAAGGCUAUUAAGCUUGUUAUCUAGCAGCUCAGCUGCAACCUUCUGAUUAUGUGCCGCAUUUCGGUACAGCAUGGUGUGUAGGGAUGGGUGGGUUGAUUUAAUCCCCACAUUGUGUGUAGGGUUGGACGGAGAUGGUGUGUAGAGACUGGUGGGUAGGAUUCUGAUUUAUUGUAUCUGCAUGUUGUAUCUGAUAUGGGCCAAGACCCUAAUAUAUUUCUGAGACUGUAUCUCAAUGGGCUAAGACCCAAAUUGAUUCUGUGAUGGGCACGGGCCCCAGACUGUAUCUAACUAAAUUCUGCUGAUUAUCUGUAUGAAUGAUUUCUAUGGGGAUUACACAUUGAGUUUGCAAAAACUCACCCUUUCUCUGUUUAAUCUGUAUAGGUAAUCCCCAGACUUGACGAGUCGGUGCAGCGGAGGACUCGAAGGUGGCCACACGUAAAUUUUAGACUAUUUUUCGUUAAUGCCUAGAAUUUAUUACUUAUUUGAGGUUUUUGAUGUAUCUUC